UACGGAGGGUGCAAGCGUUGCUCGGCAUUAUUGGGCGUAAAGGGCAGGUAGGUGGUCUCAUUUGUCUGGGGUGAAAGCCUUGAGCUUAACUCAAGAAGUGCCUCGGAAACGGUGAGACUGGAGUCCUGGAGAGGGUCGUGGAAUUCCCGGUGUAGCGGUGAAAUGCGUAGAGAUCGGGAGGAACACCAGAGGCGAAGGCGGCGACCUGGACAGGUACUGACACUCAACUGCGAAAGCGUGGGGAGCAAACAGG
rnacentral:rRNA from 1 species